UUUGCGCUGCCCCUUCUCCCUCCUGCUGUGUGGAUGAGAGGGGCGAAGAUUGGGCUCCUAUGUGUCUUGUGCACAUAGGUGUCUUAAACAUGGAGCUUGAUGUAGUGAGCACUGUGAUGAUUGGUGGUUGGAUGGGCCAUUUGCCCUAGAAGCAUCUUGUCAGGAAGUGCCGUGCUGAGUUUGCUARGAGGAUUUGAAUUGGUUUGAAUUCUCAAUGUGAAUAAAUUGCUAUGAUUUGACAACAGUUGC
rnacentral:misc_RNA from 1 species